AGUGAACGCUGGCGGUAUGCCUAACACAUGCAAGUCGAACGGCAGCACAGUAAGAGCUUGCUCUUACGGGUGGCGAGUGGCGGACGGGUGAGGAAUACAUCGGAAUCUACUUUUUCGUGGGGGAUAACGUAGGGAAACUUACGCUAAUACCGCAUACGACCUACGGGAUAAAGCAGUGGAUCUUCGGACCUUUCGCGAUUGAAUGAGCCGAUGUCGGAUUAGCUAGUUGGCUGGGUAAAGGCCCACCAAGGCGACGAUCUGUAGCUGAUCUGAGAGGAUGAUCAGCCACACUGGAACUGAGACACGGUCCAGACUCCUACGGGAGGCAGCAGUGGGGAAUAUUGGACAAUGGGCGAAAGCCUGAUCCAGCAAUACCGCGUGGGUGAAGAAGGCCUUCGGGUUGUAAAGCCCUUUUGUUGGGAAAGAAAAGCAGCAGGUUAAUACCCCGCUGUUCUGACGGUACCCAAAGAAUAAGCAACGGCUAACUUCGUG
rnacentral:rRNA from 1 species